rnacentral:rRNA from 1 species
AGCGAACGCUGGCGGCAGGCUUAACACAUGCAAGUAGAGCGGGCAUAGCAAUAUGUCAGCGGCAGACGGGUGAGUAACGCGUGGGAACGUACCUUUUGGUUCGGAACAACACAGGGAAACUUGUGCUAAUAACGGAUAAGCCCUUACGGGGAAAGAUUUAUCGCCGAAAGAUCGGCCCGCGUCUGAUUAGCUAGUUGGUGAGGUAAUGGCUCACCAAGGCGACGAUCAGUAGCUGGUCUGAGAGGAUGAUCAGCCACAUUGGGACUGAGACACGCCCCAAACUCCUACGGGAGGCAGCAGUGGGGAAUAUUGGACAAUGGGCGCAAGCCUGAUCCAGCCAUGCCGCGUGAGUGAUGAAGGCCCUAGGGUUGUAAAGCUCUUUUGUGCGGGAAGAUAAUGACGGUACCGCAAGAAUAAGCCCCGGCUAACUUCGUGCCAGCCGCCGCCGUAA